GAGGAAUAUUGGACAAUGGGCGCAAGCCUGAUCCAGCCAUGCCGCGUGAGUGAAGAAGGCCUUAGGGUUGUAAAGCUCUUUCAAUUGUGAAGAUAAUGACGGUAGCAAUAGAAGAAGCUCCGGCUAAAUUCGUGCCAGCAGCCGCGGUAAUACGAAUGGAGCAAGCGUUGUUCGGAAUCACUGGGCUUAAAGCGUAUGUAGGCGGGACAGUAAGUCAGAAGUGAAAGCCUGGGGCUCAACCCCAGAACUGCUUUUGAAACUACAGUUCUAGAAUCCUGGAGAGGUUGGGAGAAUUCCGAGUGUAGAGGUGAAAUUCGCAGAUAUUCGGAGGAAUACCAGUGGCGUAGGCGCCCAACUGGACAGGUAUUGACGCUCAGAUACGAAAGCGUGGGGAGCAAAC
rnacentral:rRNA from 1 species